UACGUAGGGUGCGAGCGUUAAUCGGAAUUACUGGGCGUAAAGCGUGCGCAGGCGGCUUUGCAAGACAGAUGUGAAAUCCCCGGGCUCAUCCUGGGAACUGCAUUUGUGACUGCAAGGCUAGAGUACGGCAGAGGGGGAUGGAAUUCCGCGUGUAGCAGUGAAAUGCGUAGAUAUGUGGAGGAACACCAAUGGCGAAGGCAAUCCCCUGGGCCUGUACUGACGCUCAUGCACGAAAGCGUGGGGAGCAAACAGG
rnacentral:rRNA from 1 species